UACAUAGGGGGCAAGCGUUAUCCGGAAUUAUUGGGCGUAAAGAGUGCGUAGGCGGAUGAUUAAGUCUGGUGUAAAAUUUCACAGCUUAACUGUGGAGGGUCAUUGGAAACUGGUCAACUAGAGUACGGUAGAGGUAAGCGGAAUUCCAAGUGGAGCGGUAAAAUGCGUAGAUAUUUGGAGGAACACCAGUGGCGAAGGCGACUUACUGGGCCGGGACUGACGCUGAUGCACGAAAGCGUGGGGAGCAAACAGGAUUAGAUACCCUGGUAGUCCACGCCGUAAACGAUGAGCACUAAGUGUCGGAGUAAAAUUCGGUGCUGCAGUUAACACAGUAAGUGCUCCGCCUGGGGAGUACGGUCGCAAGACUGAAACUCAAAGGAAUUGACGGGGACUCGCACAAGCGGUGGAGCAUGCGGUUUAAUUCGAUGCAACGCGAAGAACCUUACCAGGUCUUGACAUACUGUUGCUGGGGUUAGAGAUAAUCCGUUUCUUCGGAACAACAGAUACAGGUGGUGCAUGGUU
rnacentral:rRNA from 1 species